CAGUCAUAUCAUGUUGAAACACUGAUUCUCAUAUGAUCACUGAAGUUAAGCAAUGCUGAGCUUGCUCAGUACCUAGAUGGAUGACUGCUUGGGAAUAUCAGGUGCUGUAAG